rnacentral:rRNA from 1 species
CGCAUCUGUGCAUGCAGCAUAUCAAUAAGCGGAGGAAAAGAAACUAACAAGGAUUCCCCUAGUAACGGCGAGUGAAGCGGGAAGAGCUCAAAUUUGAAAUCUUAAAGGGUUUCCCUUUACGAAUUGUAGUUUAAAGAAGUGUUUUCUGUUGAGGUUUUGGUAAAAGUUCUUUGGAAUAGGACAUCAUAGAGGGUGAGAAUCCCGUAUUUGACCUUUACUUUCAACUUUGUGAUACACUUUCAAAGAGUCGGAUUGUUUGGGAAUGCAGUCCAAAAUGGGUGGUAAAUUUCAUCUAAAGCUAAAUAUUGGCGAGAGACCGAUAGCGAACAAGUACCGUGAGGGAAGAUGAAAAGAACUUUGAAAAGAGAGUUAAACAGUACGUGAAAUUGUCAAAAGGGAAGCGUUUGACACCAGUGUUGUUUUUCUAGAAAAUCAAUUAAAGAACUGUUUAUGCUAAGCUGUUUAGACUUUAUCAGCUAAUCUGUUUAGUUUUGAGCUUUUCUUUAAUGCACUUUUCAGUUAACAAGUCAACAUCAAUUUCUUUUGCUGUAAAAAAGCUUGAGGAAGGUGGCUUGAGAUUCGUCUUAAGUGUUUAUAGCCUCUUGCCUAUGCAGUCGGAGAGAUUGAGGUCUGCAGCGUAGAUCCUUCGGGGCUAAAUGCAUUUCGUGCUAAGUUAUAGCAUUUUAUAGACAACUUGUUGACUAUGAUUUGUCUUGUAGCUUACUCGCUUAUGUUAUUUUACCUACGCUUAGGAUGUUGAGUCGUAGAGCACGCAG